UCGCGGCCUAUCAGCUUGUUGGUGGGGUAACGGCUCACCAAGGCUAUGACGGGUAGCUGGUCUGAGAGGAUGGCCAGCCACAUUGGGACUGCGACACGGCCCAGACUCCUACGGGAGGCAGCAGUGGGGAAUAUUGCGCAAUGGACGAAAGUCUGACGCAGCGACGCCGCGUGUGGGAUGAAGCCUUUCGGGGCGUAAACCACUGUUGCCCGGGACGAACAUCCCCUUUCGAGGGGACUGACGGUACCGGGUGAGGAAGCACCGGCUAACUCUGUGCCAGCAGCCGCGGUAAUACAGAGGGUGCGAGCGUUGUCCGGAAUCACUGGGCGUAAAGGGCGCGUAGGUGGCUUGGUAAGCGUGUGGUGAAAGUCCGGGGCUCAACCCCGGAUCUGCCGUGCGAACUGCUGAGCUCGAGCAAUGUAGAGGCAGGUGGAAUUUCGGGUGUAGCGGUGGAAUGCGUAGAUAUCCGAAAGAACACCAGUGGCGAAGGCGGCCUGCUGGGCAUUUGCUGACACUGAGGCGCGACAGCGUGGGGAGCAAACAGGAUUAGAUACCCUGGUAGUCCACGCCGUAAACGAUGGGUACUAGGUGUCUGGGGGAGCGACCCCCUGGGUGCCGGCGCUAACGCAUGAAGUACCCCGCCUGGGGAGUACGG
rnacentral:rRNA from 1 species